rnacentral:ncRNA from 2 species
AUAUCAUCAAGAGGAACUGAGAGACAGGCUCUGUGACGUUCCAGCAACCUACGUAAAUCGUGUGGUGCUAAUUCCUGAAAGAUGAAAA